UUAUAAGAGACAGCAGCAGCCACGGUAAUACGAAGGGUGCAAGCGUUAAUCGGAAUUACUGGGCGUAAAGCGUGCGUAGGCGGCUUGGUAAGUUAGAGGUGAAAGCCUGGAGCUCAACUCCAGAAUUGCCUUUAAGACUGCCGAGCUAGCAGGUGAGAGAGGUAAGUGGAAUUCCGAGUGUAGAGGUGAAAUUCGUAGAUAUUCGGAAGAACACCAGUGGCGAAGGCGGCUUACUGGCUCAUACUGGACGCUGAGGUGCGAAAGCGUGGGGAGCAAACAGGAUUAGAUACCCGUGUAGUCCCUGUCUCUUAUAC
rnacentral:rRNA from 1 species